rnacentral:rRNA from 1 species
GUGGGGAAUAUUGGACAAUGGGGGGAACCCUGAUCCAGCCAUGCCGCGUGUGUGAAGAAGGCCUUUUGGUUGUAAAGCACUUUAAGCGAGGAGGAGGCUACCGAGAUUAAUACUCUUGGAUAGUGGACGUUACUCGCAGAAUAAGCACCGGCUAACUCUGUGCCAGCAGCCGCGGUAAUACAGAGGGUGCAAGCGUUAAUCGGAUUUACUGGGCGUAAAGCGCGCGUAGGUGGCCAAUUAAGUCAAAUGUGAAAUCCCCGAGCUUAACUUGGGAAUUACAUUCGAUACUGGUUGGCUAGAGUAUGGGAGAGGAUGGUAGAAUUCCAGGUGUAGCGGUGAAAUGCGUAGAGAUCUGGAGGAAUACCGAUGGCGAAGGCAGCCAUCUGGCCUAAUACUGACACUGAGGUGCGAAAGCAUGGGGAGCAAACAGGAUUAGAUACCCUGGUAGUCC